GUGAAUGUUCUAGAUCAACCAACACACUGACAGUGGUGAAUGUUCUAGACAUGCAUGAGAUUCACUCACUCAAUCACCCCAGCGCUUGGAGCUAGGCUAAUAAACAAGAGUUUGAGUCCGUUAAUAAAUAUCUGUAGAAUGUUCUGCUGUGAAAUAGAGUACACACACACACACACACACACACAGUGUGAAUGAUUAAAAAGGAGAAUAACAGGUGAAAGACAGAGCAAGCUCAUCUCUAAGUGGGAAGCUGAUCUGUAUAUCAACUGUUCUGUGUGGUGUGUCAGAAGCUUAAUUGACACAGGAGAGAAAAGCCUAAAUAAAGAAACAUCAUGACACAAUUCAUAUGGCCAGGUAAAACAUUUAUAAAUGAAUAAAAACCUUCCCUUUAUUUUCUGUUUCUUCCAGAUUUUUCCCCACAAAGUUUUUUUUUUUUUUUGCUUUUGUUUCAUGUUUUUCUUCUCUCUUAAAUUAUAUAAAAAUAUUUCAGACAUUCAUUUCGCAUGUGUUUCAUUCAGUCCUCUUGAUUAAUUCAUAUGCCCCUGUAUUUCUAAAGACCCAUUGGUUUAUACAUUAUUUACAGGUUAACUCAGUCCGUCUCCCGUUUCAGCCUUGGCGUUAGGACACCAGAACAUAUUUGCAUAGAUUCCAGGAGAGAUCUAUCUGUCGUUUCACAAUACAGGAACAAACAAAAAAAAGUGAGAGAGAGAACAGCUGACAGACAAUUUCCAGAAAUCUACAUUUAAAUCAAAAAUCGUUUGAAACUUAAAUCUUUAAAAAAAAUGACACACACACAAUACUAAUGAGAACCAUAAAUCCAUCCUCGUCAGCUCAUUGACUAGAUAAUCACAGUGAGUUGUUCAGCUCUCUUGUGGUAUCUUGUCAUUUGGAACAGUAACUACAUUCUCUCCAAACAUAGUUUGAAUGAUGAUAAGCAGUAAAUAUAAUAGGAAGUCGGGAAGUGACAUCAGAGGAUCUGCAUGGCAUUAUGUGGAGUGGCUGACUGGCAGUUUCAGAGAGAUGGCUGUAUGAGGGAGAGAGGUGCAUGACUGAGGAAGACUACUGCUGCCACACACACACACACACACACACACACACACACACACACACACACACAAAACCUGGAAAGAGCUGAACAGGCUCACAAAUCACCAAUCAACACAAUUGAAAUAGUUGCUUGAAUUUCUUAACAAUUUACAAUAAAAAGGAAAAUGCUAACAUGGUGACAACACCUGAUCCAGCUACUGGCUGUAGCCACCCUGAAACCCAGAUGUAUUUAACUCAACUGAGUUAGUUUAGGGUUUGUUGCAUGCAUAACGUAGAAUUACUUAUUGUAGGUUUGCGUUCUUGUGGAUGGGGGUUGCUUCAAGAGAACAGUGAACUGUCUAAUAAAGAACAGUGCAUCUAACUCACACAACCUUUAACAAGCAAUUAUUUCACAAGAAAAAUAUUCAUACAAGUUAAAAAAAAACAGACUUCGAGUGACUGAUUUGAUGUCUGAUCAAAAUGAAAUAGAUAACGGUUAAUAAGAGAUAAUCAUUUGGUCAUUGCCAGGGUACAGUUUGUGACCUCAAGGGGAGGGGGAUUUACCGACUGUAAAAUCCUUUUUUUCUUGCACAACGUAUUGAGACAAUAAAACCGAAUGAAAAGGGACACAUUGGAGGUGAACGAAACAGACAGAAUGAGAGGGUUUGGAUGGACAGCUGGAGGGACGGAUGGUGUUUUGGAAAACACUGCGGUAGUUUACUCCCUCCCUCUUCAACACAGAAACAGCUGGAUUCUCAGUCUAGCACAAGAUUACCCAGAACCUACUUGUGGAACUAGCGACUUCUCAUACAGAUUUUAUUGUUCAUAUUUUUAUUGAAUUACUGUAUAUUCUUUUUUUCCCCUCUUCAAACAUCUGGAUGUAGCUGUUCGAGAAACUUGGGGAAUAUCGUCAAUUCUGGAGAUUCAAUUCUUGAGAGUUAUACAUGUCCAGAAUAAGAGUAACAGCACAGGAUAUUAAGGGAACCAUUGUAGCCAUGGCUUUCAUCAAACGUCAAAGUCAAGAGUCGUACCUGUCGACCAGAGUUUCCUGCAUAUCCAUUUUAAAUUCUGACAGAUGUUCUGGGGGGAAAAAAACUGGCAAAAACAGUUGUUUCACUGACAGAGCAGAGAGAAUGUUGAGCCAAGAUACUGACAAUAUAGAGGCAGGGUUAGAGAUGGACUUUCACAUACACACACUGACACACACACUUAAAAACAACCUCAAACCUUAGAUAAAAAAAUACAAACGGAAAUGAAAGUAAUUAAAGUGUCUUGGCAAAGCCUCAAACACCGUGUGGGCUAGCUUCUCAACACAACGCAUACAAAUCAAUAUUAGAUGCACGGAAACACUGACAUGGUUAAAGUUUCUACAGACUAGUUUCCCAGAGAGAAGAAAAAAAGGUGCCAUCUUUACUUGGUACCUCAAGAGACAAGAAUGACACCUUUUAGAUAUGUAUAUUACCUAUGUAAGGUUAAGUAUUACCGUUUAAGACUGCAUCAUGCUUAGUUAGGCUAGGUCCAAGGUUAUCAUUAGCCUGGGUACCAGUCUCUUAGUUAGGCUAGGUCCAAGGUUAUCAUUAGCCUGGGUACCAGUCUCUUAGUUAGGCUAGGUCCAAGGUUAUCAUUAGCCUGGGUACCAGUCUCUUAGUUAGGCUAGGUCCAAGGUUAUCAUUAGCCUGGGUACCAGUCUCUUAGUUAGGCUAGGUCCAAGGUUAUCAUUAGCCUGGGUACCAGUCUCUUAGUUAGGCUAGGUCCAAGGUCAUCAUUAGCCUGGGUAACAGUCUCUUAGUUAGGGUAGGUCCAAGGUCAUCAUUAGCCUGGGUACCAGUCUCUUAGUUAGGCUAGGUCCAAGGUCAUCAUUAGCCUGGGUACCAGUCUCUUAGUUAGGCUAGGUCCAAGGUUAUCAUUAGCCUGGGUACCAGUCUCUUAGUUAACCUUGGAACUAGCCUUUCAUUAGCCUGGGUACCAGUCUCUUAGUUAGGCUAGUUCCAAGGUUAUCAUUAGCCUGAGUACCAGCCUCUAGAGAAUCCACUCCCUAUACACAAAUCAAAUCAACAUAUUAAUUGUCACGUACAUGUUGUCAUGUGCCAAAUAUGGUAAUGGCAAGGAGUAGAAUGUUAGCUAAGAGACUGGUACUCAGACUAGGUUAUUAUGACAGUUCUAUGUUCCAUUAUAGAACAGUUGGGGUGAAUGUUCUUUGGAUUCCAUGUUCCUAGCCUAGGUGAUAGAUCUACAGUAUCUUUUCCUUGAAGUAUCUUUCCCCCAACAGGAAGAAUGCCUUUCAGUAUAGAUAGUCAGCGUAAACUGAUAAUGGCCCUUUGGACUGGGACCCUAUUCUCCCAGGGUUUCGAGAGCCCAAAACAAAACUGUGUAGCCUAUUUCACACAACAACAGAUUUGAUGGACGGAUCGUCAAUUCGGUUAAUUGCAAACAGGAAACUAAAUGUGAUAAAUGUAGUCACAUUAAAACAAAUGUAAAGCUUUUAGAGGAACCAAUAUCUCCAGAGGAAAACCAGCACGAGAGAAGAGAGGUUGAAAGCAACGAGCACGAGGUUUUCUCCCAGUCUCAGACUACCGAUGAAACUUCCCAUCCUCCGUCCCACACUGAACCAUCAGAGAGGUAGACUCUACAAAGCAGGAUCAAUGAGUUAGCCAGCUAACUUUGACAAGCAACCAGAGGGGUAGACUCUACAAAGCAGGAUCAAUGAGUUAGCCAGCUAACUUUGACAAGCAACCAGAGGGGUAGACUCUACAAAGCAGGAUCAAUGAGUUAGCCAGCUAACUUUGACAAGCAACCAGAGGGGUAGACUCUACAAAGCAGGAUCAAUGAUUUAGCCAGCUAACUUUGACAAGCAACGAGAGGGGUAGACUCUACAAAGCAGGAUCAAUGAGUUAGCCAGCUAACUUUGACAAGCAACCAGAGGGGUAGACUCUACAAAGCAUGAUCAAUGAGUUAGCCAGCUAACUUUGACAAGCAACCAGAGGGGUAGACUCUACAAAGCAUGAUCAAUGAGUUAGCCAGCUAACUUUGACAAGAAACCAGAGGGGUAGACUCUACAAAGCAGGAUGAAUGAGUUAGCCAGCUAACUUUGACAAGCAACCAGAGGGGUAGACACUACAAAGCAUGAUCAAUGAGUUAGCCAGCUAACUUUGACAAGCAACCAGAGAGGUAGACUCUACAAAGCAGGAUGAAUGAGUUAGCCAGCUAACUUUGACAAGCAACCAGAGGGGUAGACUCUACAAAGCAGGAUCAAUGAGUUAGCCAGCUAACUUUGACAAGCAACCAGAGGGGUAGACUCUACAAAGCAUGAUCAAUGAGUUAGCCAGCUAACUUUGACAAGCAACCAGAGGGGUAGACUCUACAAAGCAUGAUCAAUGAGUUAGCCAGCUAACUUUGACAAGCAACCAGAGGGGUAGACACUACAAAGCAGGAUCAAUGAGUUAGCCAGGCCUAAAGCACUGCAGUGUUUUUUAUACAACAGAACAGAAACACAGCCUUUCCGAUGGCAACACCUUGUGCAUGACCAAAUAGACUGGCAACACCUUGUGCAUGACCAAAUAGACUGGCAACACCUUGUGCAUGACCAAAU
ensembl:lncRNA